GGGCCGGUAACUCAGUGGUAGAGUGUAGGACUGCAGUACAUUAAACCGUCUUCCCGAAGUCACCGGUUCGACUCCGGUUCGGCCCU